UACGGGGGGGGCAAGCGUUGUUCGGAAUUACUGGGCGUAAAGGGCUCGUAGGUGGCCAACUAAGUCAGACGUGAAAUCCCUCGGCUUAACCGGGGAACUGCGUCUGAUACUGGAUGGCUUGAGUUCGGGAGAGGGAUGCGGAAUUCCAGGUGUAGCGGUGAAAUGCGUAGAUAUCUGGAAGAACACCAGUGGCGAAGGCAGCAACUUGGUCUGGUAUCGACGCUAAGGCACGAAAGCAUGGGGAUCAAACAGG
rnacentral:rRNA from 1 species